GAUGAACGCUGGCGGCGUGCCUAAUACAUGCAAGUCGAGCGAACAGACGAGGAGCUUGCUCCUCUGACGUUAGCGGCGGACGGGUGAGUAACACGUGGAUAACCUACCUAUAAGACUGGGAUAACUUCGGGAAACCGGAGCUAAUACCGGAUAAUAUAUUGAACCGCAUGGUUCAAUAGUGAAAGACGGUUUUGCUGUCACUUAUAGAUGGAUCCGCGCCGCAUUAGCUAGUUGGUAAGGUAACGGCUUACCAAGGCAACGAUGCGUAGCCGACCUGAGAGGGUGAUCGGCCACCCUGGAACUGAGACACGGUCCAGCCUCCUACGGGAGGCAGCAGUAGGGAAUCUUCCGCAAUGGGCGAAAGCCUGACGGAGCAACGCCGCGUGAGUGAUGAAGGUCUUCGGAUCGUAAAACUCUUUUAUUAGGGAAGAAAAAAUGUGUAAGUAACUAUGCACGUUUUGACGGUACCAAAUCAAAAAGCCACGGCUAACUACGU
rnacentral:rRNA from 1 species